rnacentral:lncRNA from 1 species
GGGUUGGACGAAUCAGCAUUUAUAAGACCCAAACUUGUGCCCAGAUUUUAGAACAAUCUAACUUCCAGUCUUUGCAUUCGACCCAAUCUACAGGUGUUCAAAUAUGGGUCUGAUUUGGUCUAACAGAUUAGGAGAGUGGACCCAACUUAUUGCCAACCCUAAAAUGGGUAAGACUUCGAAACUUAUAUUUGAUCAAUUCAGUAAACAGGUGCAG